GCACCAUUAGCUCAGUUGGUAGAGCAGUCGCCUCUUAAGCGAACGGUCGGGAGUUCAAAUCUCUCAUGGUGCA
rnacentral:tRNA from 1 species